UCCUACGGGAGGCAGCAGUGGGGAAUAUUGCGCAAUGGGCGAAAGCCUGACGCAGCAACGCCGCGUGCGGGAUGAAGGCCUUCGGGUUGUAAACCGCUUUCAGUGGGGACGAAAUUGACGGUACCCACAGAAGAAGCCCCGGCCAACUACGUGCCAGCAGCCGCGGUAACACGUAGGGGGCGAGCGUUGUCCGGAUUUAUUGGGCGUAAAGAGCUCGUAGGCGGCUCAGUAAGUCAGGUGUGAAAACUCCAGGCUCAACCUGGAGACGCCACCUGAUACUGCUGUGGCUAGAGUCCGGUAGGGGAGCAUGGAAUUCCUGGUGUAGCGGUGAAAUGCGCAGAUAUCAGGAGGAACACCAGUGGCGAAGGCGGUGCUCUGGGCCGGAACUGACGCUGAGGAGCGAAAGCGUGGGGAGCAAACAGGAUUAGAUACCCUGGUAGA
rnacentral:rRNA from 1 species